CUGUUGUUUGCUUAUUGGGGGGGGGGGAGUGGGAGUGACAAAAGAAAGAAAAAAGAAGAGGAAGAAGAGGAGGGGAACACAGGGAGCCACCACUGGCCAGAGUGCAAGAACAGUCACCUUGUCUUCUAUGAUCAUUAACCUUGCUAGAAAGAGGCAGCUGGCAGCUCUCUGCUGAAGCUUGUCUUUAGAAUGUGAGCUGAGCAAGAGACACUGCAGAUACAUUUCCGGAAGGGUGUCUUGUUUGCUGCAAGUGUUAUAAAUAUUGGAUCCAUACAGGGUGGGUGCCUGCCUGCAACAUGAGAUUCCAGCAGCUCCUUCUGACCUGGUUUCUACUCCUGGCUGGGGUGCUCCUGAUCAAUGGACAGAGGCCAGCUAACCUGGCCUCAAGACGAAAACUGCACAGACAUCUCUGUUCCCACAGGAGAUGCAUGCCUCUUCAUUCCCGAGUGCCCUUCCCCUGAGAAGCUGAGAGAAAAUGACAUUCUUGCAGCAAGCAGAUGUGUUAUUUUACAGUUUUUAACAGAUACUGGAAGGAGAAAUGCAGGGAAGUCCACAUGACAAAAUUUGAGGGCACUGUUGGAAUCUAUGCAGGGGGGCCCAUGAACUAUCCUCAGAAACCUUAUUAGAAGCCUUCUGGAACAAGCUUUCCCAGUGUUUUGGGUAUGUCUAAGCAGAAAGAAAACAACAGGAAGUGAAGUGCUCCCAUCUGAGAACUCUGGAGAAGCAUCCAUGCAAUAUGAUAUGCUAUUCUUCUCUGCACAUCAGCUCAGCACUAAAAUAGCUAGAAAUCACAAACUUUAUAUUAGAACCAUUGCAGUGUCAAUUUAAAGAACUACUGGCGUAAUAUAAGUCUUCAUUAACUAUACACGUUUUUAACACACACCUCAGAUUGAAUAUGCAAGAAUGAAGCAAUUGUUUCAUAAACAAUAUGAUCACAUAGUAUUUAUAUAAAACUGCAUAUUGGAUGUUGAAAUCUACAGUUAUUCGGUUUUCUCAAUGUUUCAUGACUAGGAUGGUCUCUGUUGACAUCAUUAGAUGUGCACUUGCUAUCUAGGUGAAAAUUCAGACACUAAGGGCCAAAACAGACCAGCAAAAAAUGCCAGCUUUGAGGUGGCGUGGGCAUGUGACAUGCCCAUGCCCUAACACCGCCCCCCAAGCCAGUGUCACACCAUUCCUCUGACCACACAGCAGGCAGCAUCACGGCAUUUCUGUAACGUGACAUUUACACAUGUGGUGCUGCAGAAGCACCAAAAAGCCACCACUGUGGCAGAAAGGACACCUUUUUUCCGCCCCCAAAAGGCCCUAACUCACCUCAACUGAAAAGUCUUACAAGCAAGUUUGAAACUUACUUUGGAUUUCCACUUAUGCCAAGUAAAAUGCUGAUAGAGCUUUGCAGGAGCAGGGUCUUAACAGAUCAGCCUAGUCUCAUGAUGGCGAACCUAUGGCACACGUCCCAGAGAUGACACGUGAUGCCAUUUGGCCUGGCACCCAGUGGAGAGGAGGAGGAACAGGCACAUUUCCUCCCAGAGCUUUCCU